rnacentral:rRNA from 1 species
CGUGUAGGCGGCCUUGCAGGUCAGAUGUGAAAGCCCCGGGCUUAACCCGGGAAUUGCGUUUGAAACCGUGAGGCUUGAGGCCGGGAGAGGGAAGUGGAAUUCCUGGUGUAGCGGUGAAAUGCGUAGAUAUCAGGAGGAACACCGGUGGCGAAGGCGGCUUCCUGGACCGGUUCUGACGCUAAAACGCGAAAGCGUGGGGAGCGAACG